AAAAUACGGGAGGCAGCAGUGGGGAAUAUUGGACAAUGGAGGAAACUCUGAUCCAGCAAUUCUGUGUGUGUGAAGAAGGUCUUCGGAUUGUAAAACACUUUUAGUUGGGAAGAAACAAAUGACGGUACCAACAGAAGAAGCGACGGCUAAAUACGUGCCAGCAGCCGCGGUAAUUUUU
rnacentral:rRNA from 1 species